rnacentral:rRNA from 1 species
AGAGUUGAUUCUGGCUCAGGAUGAACGCUAGCUACAGGCUUAACACAUGCAAGUCGAGGGGCAGCGGGAAGGAAGCUUGCUUCUUGCCGGCGACCGGCGCACGGGUGAAGUAACGCGUAUCCAACCUGCCCGCGGCUCAGGGAUAGCCUCGUGAAAACGAGAUUAAUACCUGAUGGUCUUGUUGGUUGACAUCAAUUGACAAGUAAAGAUUUAGUCGGCAGCGGAUGGGGAUGCGUUCCAUUAGGUGUUGGCGGGUAACGGCCCACCAAGCCGACGAUGGAUAGGGGUUCUGAGAGGAAGGUCCCCCACAUUGGAACUGAGACACGGUCCAAACUCCUACGGGAGGCAGCAGUGAGGAAUAUUGGUCAAUGGGCGAGAGCCUGAACCAGCCAAGUAGCGUGAGGGGAAUGACUGCCCUAUGGGUUGUAAACCUCUUUUAUACGGGAAUAAAAUGCGCCACGUGUGGUGUUUUGCAUGUACCGUAAGAAUAAGCAUCGGCUAAUUCCGUGCCAGCAGCCGC